AAAUGCUCAACUUUUGAUGCCACUUCAAGCUCUGAGAAAGACAAGACAAGUGUUCGCGGAGAUAUUCCCCAAAGGGAUCUUCAAGUGUCUGCAACAAGGGAAUUCUUAAUCUUAUAAUAAAGUAGAAAUCGAGUUUUAAUUAUGUGCAAACAUAAAGUUCAAAAACGAAUUAAUUCGAUUCAAGUGAAUUAUAAACUGAAAACAGAUUCAGGAUUUCCUAACUAUUUUAAGACUUUAAUUAUAUUCAAAAAAUGUUUCCUGCCUCUUGUGAUUCAAUUCCGCUUGCAAACGUGGAAAAUUGUCGGAAAACGAAACAACAAAUUGAUUUAUAUCAUACAAAUAUAUAGUCCGUAACGAGUUAAUAUCGGAUAAAGCGACAAAUGGGGCUGGAUAUGGAAAACUGUCUUAAUCUCAGAAAAUGAUUUUGAAACGAGGCCAAGCAGAUAAAUCUGAAUUCUUUGGCAUCUUGGGAAUAUUUCAAAUUUGUCAGAUUCUCAUCAAAUUGUUUAGUUUCUAAUUAAAAGCCAAUAUUAAUCGGUAUCGGAAGGAGAUAAAAGAGAUUGAAAACAAUUCCUCUAGGAAUAAAAAGCCCUUUCAAACUUUCUUCAAAUAUUUACAUAUAAAUUGAGGGGCAUUGGGAAAAGCUGGCGAUUGUCCUUGUGGCUGGGCGAGCUCUGCUCCCAAAAAAAGAGAAGCAGCCGCCCGCUCCCGCAUGACUUCAGCUUGUCGGCCAACUAUUGGCACGUUUUUUACAAAACACACACACACACACGCACAACAGACCAAGCGACCAAAGGAGAGGCGAGGCGAGGCGGAGUUAAAUAACAAAUAUUAUUAUCGCUUGGCCACAGCGCAAGGAGCCAAAGGACAUGACAGGACGGCGUGGUCGGAACCCGGUCCACAAAAAGGCAAGCCAAGUUCUCAUUGAAGAUAGUUCGUCAGUUCAGCGACAACACAAAGUAAAUAAAAUGUGCACAACUAGCAGCAGCAGCAGCAGCAACAACAACAAUCACAAAAGCCAGGCAAACAACAAAAACAACAAAAUUAAAUAAUGCCACAAACGAUUUCUUAUGAAAUGUUCAAAAAUAUACAACACCCCGAUAACAUCGACAGCGGCACACACAAA